UAGCUCAAUUGGUAGAGCAACUGACUUGUAAUCAGUAGGUUGGGGGUUCAAGUCCUCU
rnacentral:tRNA from 2 species